ACAGUUUCUAGGACUGGGAGAGUAAUUGUUGAUGAGAGUCAAAGCGAGCCGGGUUGGUGAAAGCCGGUACCGAGUUAACAGUGAAACGGACCCAUGAGAAUGACUUUUGAAUGUAUUAGUAGGAAGUCACGGCUAAGACCGUUAUCUUAUUGAGUGGUUAAACGGUAAGUUUAACAACAAGAGUGGUACCGCGAAUGCAAAGCUUUCGUCUCUUUU
rnacentral:ncRNA from 1 species